CGGAGGAUACGAGCGUUAUCCGGAAUUAUUGGGUUUAAAGGGUGCGUAGGUGGCUAUUUAAGUCAGGGGUGAAAGCAUGAGCUCAACUCAUGUCUUGCCUUUGAAACUGGACAGCUAGAGAAAAGACGAGGUAUGUGGAAUGUGUGGUGUAGCGGUGAAAUGCAUAGAUAUCACACAGAACUCCGAUUGCGCAGGCAGCGUACCAGACUUCUUCUGACACUGAAGCACGAAAGCGUGGGAUCAAACAGGAUU
rnacentral:rRNA from 1 species